AGUCACUGACAUUAGAUACCCGUGUAGUCCAGGGUGUAAACGCUGCAGACUUGGUGUUGGAAGCCCUUUGGGGGCAUUCAGUGCCGGAGAGAAGUUGUUAAGUCUGCUACUUGGGGAGUACGUCCGCAAGGAUGAAACUUAAAGGAAUUGGCGGGGGAGCACCGCAACGGGAGGAGCGUGCGGUUUAAUUGGAUUCAACACCGUAAACUCACCAGGGAAGACUGUUACAUGAAGGCCGAGAUGAAGACUCUGCCAGAUUUUCAG
rnacentral:rRNA from 1 species